GACGAACGCUGGCGGCGUGCUUAACACAUGCAAGUCGAGCGGUAAGGCCCUUUCGGGGGUACACGAGCGGCGAACGGGUGAGUAACACGUGGGUGACCUGCCUUUAGCUCUGGGAUAAGCCUGGGAAACCGGGUCGUAAUACCGGAUAUGACUCCGCGGCGCAUGUUGUGGGGUGGAAAGCCUUGUGCGGCUGGAGAUGGGCCCGCGGCCUAUCAGCUUGUUGGUGGGGUGAUGGCCUACCAAGGCGACGACGGGUAGCCGGCCUGAGAGGGCGACCGGCCACACUGGGACUGAGACACGGCCCAGACUCCUACGGGAGGCAGCAGUGGGGAA
rnacentral:rRNA from 1 species